GGCGAACGCUGGCGGCGGGCUUAACACAUGCAAGUCGAACGGAAAGGCCCUGCGUUUUUGGGGUUCUCGGUUGGCAAACGGGUAAGUAACACGUGAAUAACCUGCCCUUGACUUUGGUAUGACUUCAGGAAACUGGGGCUAAGACCAUAUAGGAUCUCCUUCUGCAGUGUGGGGGGUGGAAAUUUUAGGCGUGUGGGGCUGGACGCGCGGCUUAUCAGCUUGUUGGUUGGGUAGUGGCUUACCAAGGCUUUGACGGGUAGCCGGCCUGAGAGGGUGACCGGACACCUUGGGCCUGAGAUACGGCACAGAGUCCUAUGGGAGGCAGUAGUGGGGAAUAUUGCACAAUGGGAGGACGCCUGAUGCAGAAACGCUGCGUGCGGGAUGACGGCCUUCGGGUUGUAAAAAGCUUUCGCCUGUGACGAAGCGUGAGUGACGGUAAUGGGUAAAGAAGCACCGGCUAACUACGUG
rnacentral:rRNA from 1 species